rnacentral:rRNA from 1 species
GAUGAACGCUGGCGGCGUGCCUAAUACAUGCAAGUCGAGCGAACGGACGAGAAGCUUGCUUCUCUGAUGUUAGCGGCGGACGGGUGAGUAACACGUGGAUAACCUACCUAUAAGACUGGGAUAACUUCGGGAAACCGGAGCUAAUACCGGAUAAUAUUUUGAACCGCAUGGUUCAAAAGUGAAAGACGGUCUUGCUGUCACUUAUAGAUGGAUCCGCGCUGCAUUAGCUAGUUGAUAAGGUAACGGCUUACCAAGGCAACGAUGCAUAGCCGACCUGAGAGGGUGGUCGGCCCACCUGGAACUGAGACACGGUCCAGACUCCUACGGGAGGCAGCAGUAGGGAAUCUUCCGCAAUGGGCGAAAGCCUGACGGAGCAACGCCGCGUGAGUGAUGAAGGUCUUCGGAUCGUAAAACUCUGUUAUUAGGGAAGAACAUAUGUGUAAGUAACUGUGCACAUCUUGACGGUACCUAAUCAGAAAGCCACGGCUAACUACGUG